rnacentral:rRNA from 1 species
CAGUAGCCGCGGUAAUACGUAGGUCCCGAGCGUUGUCCGGAUUUAUUGGGCGUAAAGCGAGCGCAGGCGGUUAUAUAAGUCUGAAGUUAAAGGCUGUGGCUUAACCAUAGUACGCUUUGGAAACUGUUUAACUUGAGUGCAAGAGGGGAGAGUGGAAUUCCAUGUGUAGCGGUGAAAUGCGUAGAUAUAUGGAGGAACACCGGUGGCGAAAGCGGCUCUCUGGCUUGUAACUGACGCUGAGGCUCGAAAGCGUGGGGGGCAAACAGGAUUAGAUACCCCUGUAGUCCCUGUCUCUUAUACA